rnacentral:misc_RNA from 1 species
AGAAAUUGGGUCUAGAAAUUAAAGAAAUUUAAUUUUACGGAAACAAAUGGAGUAAAAAAUUUUGUGAUUUGCUAUAUAUAAUUUGAAGAAAUUGUCUUUAUAAUCAAACGAUGACCCAAAGCGACAGCAUACUUCAAAUAAAAGUGUCAUAAAAGUGACAACUUCAAAUUUAUCCUAUUUAAGUAAAUUAAAUUGAUUGUUACGCUUUACCAUUCUUUCAUGCCAUGCAUGCCUGGUGUGUGUUAAAAAUAAAGUAAAAUUACGAAGAUAGGAGGCCUUGUUUCUUUACGCAUACCCAAAAGAAAGCAGAAGCAGAAGCUGAUAAAAUAAUGUGAUUAUUAUUGUAUAAACAGCAGAAGAUCAAGGAG